GCGGAGGAAAAGAAACUAACAAGGAUUCCCCUAGUAGUGGCGAGCGAACGGGGAAAAGCCCAGCACUGAAUCCCGUGCCCGAUAUCGGACACAGGGAAAUGUAGUGUUUAAGAGAAUUCUUAUCCUAGAAAUAUACGUAUAUCUAAGUCCAUCUAAAAUGCGGCUAUAACCCAUAGAGGGUGACAGGCCCGUAGGAUUUAUACAUGUUUUUAGGUUGAAUUUCUCUUUAGAGUCGAGUUGCUUUAUAAUGCAGCUCUAAGUGGGUGGUAAACUCCAUCUAAGGCUAAAUAUAACCACGAGACCGAUAGAAAACAAGUACCGUGAGGGAAAGUUGAAAAGAACUUUGAAGAGAGAGUUCAAUAGUACGUGAAACCGUUCAGGGGUAAACCAGAGACCCCGAAAGAUUCGAAAGAGGUUAAUCAAUACUCCUCUUCCACACACACUUUUGGAGAGAGUAUGUAUUUAUCCUUUAGUAGGACGCUGCAACCCGUUAGAGACAUUAGAGCCCAUUGGCAAACGCCUAUGUUAUAUCCUAGAUAUAAUAAUAAUAGGUCCAUUGGUGUCCCUAAAAGCCUGUCUUCUGACGGAAUAUAUAUAUUUGUUAGCAGUGAUUUAGUUUUGGGUACUCUCUGGACCCGUCUUGAAACACGGACCAAGGAGUCUAGCAUGUGUGCAAGUCAUAGGGUUUUUAAAACCUAAAGGCGAAAUGAAAGUAAAGAGACUUAUAUAUAAGUUGAGGGAAGAUGUGUUAAUCUAUCAUAUUAACACCGCACUCCCGGGAUGUCUCAAAUUAUAUUAGAGACAUACCUAGAGCAUACACGCUGCGACCCGAAAGAUGGUGAACUAUGCCUGGUCAGGUUGAAGUCAGGGGAAACCCUGAUGGAGGACCGUAACGAUUCUGACGUGCAAAUCGAUCGUUCGAACUGGGUAUAGGGGCGAAAGACUAAUCGAACCAUCUAGUAGCUGGUUCCCUCCGAAGUUUCCCUCAGGAUAGCUGGCAUUUUUAUAAUGAAUUUCAUCUGGUAAAGCGAAUGAUUUGAGGCAUUGGGGCCGAAACGUCCUCAACCUAUUCUCAAACUUUAAAUGGGUGAGAUAAAUGGCUUGCUUUAGUGAAGCCAUUGAAUAUUGAGAUGAGAUGAGAUGAGAUAAUAUGAUAUUAGAAGUUGAAAUAGACGGGUGAAGGAGAGAUAUAUAAAAUAUAUCAAAAUAUGAGAUGAGAUAAUUUAAAACCGAAGAGAGGAGAUUGAUGAGAUGAGAUAUGGGAGAAACAGAUAUAUAAAAUAUAUCAAAAUAUGAGAUGAGAUAAUUUAAAAGUAAGAAGGAGGAAAUGUAAGGUGAAAUGAAAUGAGAUGAGAUGAGAUAAUUUAAAAGAAGGAGAGAUGGAAUCAAAGUGCCUAGUGGGCCACUUUUGGUAAGCAGAACUGGCGCUGUGGGAUGAACCAAACGCCGAGUUAAGGCGCCCAAACAACGCUUAUGGGAUACCAUGAAAGGUGUCGGUUGCUUAAGACAGCAGGACGGUGACCAUGGAAGUCGGAAUCCGCUAAGGAAUGUGUAAUAACUCACCUGCCGAAGCAACAGGCCCUGAAAAUGGAUGGCGCUAAAGUGUUGUGCCUAUACUCGGCCGUCAGGAUAGUAAUGGUUAUAUGUAAAAAUAUAAUUAUGUAAUAUCUUGACGAGUAGGAGGGUCGCGAUGAUGUGCAUAGAAGGGUCUGGUCGUAAGACUGCCUGGAGCCAUCAUCGGUGCAGAUCUUGGUGGUAGUAGCAAAUACUCUAGCGAGGCCCUGGAGGACUGAUGUGGAGAAGGGUUUCGUGUGAACAGUGGUUGUACACGAGUCAGUCGAUCCUAAGCCCUAGGUGAAAACCUAUGUUGAUGUGGUGUAUUAUUUAUUUAUAAAUGUACACACGUCGGGCGAAAGGGAAUCUGGUUAAUAUUCCAGAACCCGGUAGCGGAACCGUAUAAGUCGGGCCCUCUGAGAGAGCUCGUCGGGGUAACCCAACAUGCCCUGGAGACGCCGUCGGGAAGUCCAGAAAGAGUUUUCUUUUCUGUAUGAGCGUUCGAGUUCCCUGGAAUCCUCUAGCAGGGAGAAAGGGUUUGGAACGCGAAGAGCACCGCAGAACACGGCGGUGUCUGGAUAUUCCCCUCGGACCUUGAAAAUCCAGGUGAGGGCCACGUGGAGGUGUCGCACCGGUUCGUACCCAUAUCCGCAGCAGGUCUCCAAGGUGAAGAGCCUCUAGUC
rnacentral:rRNA from 1 species